AAAAGAAAAGAAAAAGAAAAGAAAAAGAAAAGAAAAGAAGAGUUUGCUUCUUGAAAAGCAAAACACAGUAUGUUCGCUCUUCGUUG
rnacentral:ribozyme from 13 species